CAGUCGCCGCGGUAAUACGUAGGUGGCAAGCGUUGUCCGGAAUUAUUGGGCGUAAAGGGCUCGCAGGCGGUUUCUUAAGUCUGAUGUGAAAGCCCCCGGCUCAACCGGGGAGGGUCAUUGGAAACUGGGAAACUUGAGUGCAGAAGAGGAGAGUGGAAUUCCACGUGUAGCGGUGAAAUGCGUAGAGAUGUGGAGGAACACCAGUGGCGAAGGCGACUCUCUGGUCUGUAACUGACGCUGAGGAGCGAAAGCGUGGGGAGCAAACAGGAUUAGAUACCCCCGUAGUCCCUGUCUCUUAUAA
rnacentral:rRNA from 1 species